rfam:Picea glauca, whole genome shotgun sequence.
GGGUGUGAUCAUACCAGCGUAAAUGCAUCGGAUCCCAUCAGAACUCCGCAGUUAAGCAUGCUUGGGAUACAGUAGUAUUGGGAUGGGUGACCUUCCUAGAAGUCCUAGUGUUUCACCCU